CCUACGGGAGGCAGCAGUGAGGAAUAUUGGUCAAUGGACGAGAGUCUGAACCAGCAAAGUAGCGUGAAGGAUGACUGCCCUAUGGGUUGUAAACUUCUUUUAUAUGGGAAUAAAAUGUUCCACGUGUGGGAUUUUGUAUGUACCAUAUGAAUUAGGAUCGGCUAACUCCGUGCCAGCAGCAGCGGUAAUAAGGAGGAUCCGAGCGUUAUCCGGAUUUAUUGGGUUUAAGGGUAGCGUAGGUGGAUAGUGAAGUCAGUUGUGAAAGUUUGCGGCUCAACCGUGAAAUUGCAGUUAAGACUGGCAGUCUUGAGUACAGUAGAGGUGAGCGGAAUUCGUAGUGUAGCGGUGAAAUGCUUAGAGAUCACGAAGAACACCGAUUGCGAAGGCAGUUCACUGGACUGCAACUGACACUGAGGCUCGAAAGUGUGGGUAUCAAACAGGAUUAGAUACCCGAGUAGUC
rnacentral:rRNA from 1 species